CGAAUAGGGGAGCCGGAGGGAAACCGAGUCUUAAUUGGGCGUUAAGUUGCAGGGUAUAGACCCGAAACCCGGUGAUCUAGCCAUGGGCAGGUUGAAGGUUGGGUAACACUAACUGGAGGACCGAACCGACUAAUGUUGAAAAAUUAGCGGAUGACCUGUGGCUGGGGGUGAAAGGCCAAUCAAACCGGGAGAUAGCUGGUUCUCCCCGAAAGCUAUUUAGGUAGCGCCUCGUGAAUUCAUCUCCGGGGGUAGAGCACUGUUUCGGCUAGGGGGCCAUCCCGGCUUACCAACCCGAUGCAAACUGCGAAUACCGGAGAAUGUUAUCACGGGAGACACACGGCGGGUGCUAACGUCCGUCGUGAAGAGGGAAACAACCCAGACCGCCAGCUAAGGUCCCAAAGUCAUGGUUAAGUGGGAAACGAUGUGGGAAGGCCCAGACAGCCAGGAUGUUGGCUUAGAAGCAGCCAUCAUUUAAAGAAAGCGUAAUAGCUCACUGGUCGAGUCGGCCUGCGCGGAAGAUGUAACGGGGCUAAACCAUG
rnacentral:rRNA from 1 species